rnacentral:rRNA from 1 species
GAUUUCUGGCCUGAAACAUUUUGUCGGCCACGGUUUCGUGUGUUAGUGCAUUAUGUUCUGGCCAUCCUUCCAAUCGCUAUUUACCUUUCUUCAUUGAUUGGUAAGUGGUAUUGGAUCUUUUACUUUGAAAAAAUUAGAGUGUUUCAAGCAGGCUUUAUGCUAUGAAUACAUUAGCAUGGAAUAAUAAUUUAGGACUUUUGUCCUAUUUUGUUGGUUUCUAGGACGAAAGUAAUGAUUGAUAGGGAUAGUUGGGGGUGCUAGUAUUCAGCGGCCAGAGGUGAAAUUCUCGGAUUCGCUGAAGACUAACUUAUGCGAAAGCAUU